rnacentral:ncRNA from 1 species
AAGAUAGAGGCGCGCCCAAGAAGAGUACCUCACAAAGACGGCUGCCAGAGCCGUGGGGGAAAGGCGCGGGCGCCGAAGCGGCUGCCGCGGCGGGCAGUUCGCUGGCAUUGCGGAGAAGAUCCGUACUGCUGUCGCAGUAAUGCGGAGCGCUAUCGA